AGCAGCCGCGGUAAUUCCAGCUCCAAUAGCGUAUAUUAAAGUUGUUGCAGUUAAAAAGCUCGUAGUUGAAUUUCGGGGUUAGUAGGUUGGUCGUGCCACUGGUACGUACUGGUCUCACUGAUUCCUCCUUCCUGAUGAACUGUAAUGCCAUUAAUUUGGUGUUGCAGGGAAACUGAACUGUUACUUUGAAAAAAUUAGAGUGUUUAAAGCAAGCUAACGCUUGAAUACAUUAGCAUGGAAUAAUGAAAUAGGACGUUCGAUCCUAUUUUGUUGGUUUCUAGGAUUGACGUAAUGAUUAAUAGGGAUAGUUGGGGGCAUUAGUAUUCAAUUGUCAGAGGUGAAAUUCUUGGAUUUAUUGAAGACUAACUACUGCGAAAGCAUUUGCCAAGGAUGUUUUCAUUAAUCAAGAACGAAAGUUAGGGGAUCGAAGACGAUCAGAUACCGUCGUAGUCUUAACCAUAAACUAUGCCGACUAGGGAUCGGAUGAUGUUAAUUUUUUAAUGACUCAUUCGGCGCCUUA
rnacentral:rRNA from 1 species